rnacentral:lncRNA from 1 species
UCAGCUUUCUUACUUAUUGUGAGGAUGGAACAAGGACUUCAAAGUUUCCAGUCCAUGUUGUACUGAAAACUGGAAGUUUCCUGUCAGAGUAUUUUAAACUGGCCUGGAACUUCUGUAGCCAUUUCAUCAGCUUUCCCAGAGGAUGAAACACAGACAUGAAGGAAGACAGAGCCAAGAUAACUACACAGAGGCGGGACUAGAGGGCAGAAAUAAUUUUUGACAGAGAAGGAAACAUCCAGGCCAUGGGGUGCUGGCUUGGAAUGCUGUCUUCUAGCAACAAAAUAUGAUAUGUAAGAGGUCUAGCUGAGUUUGAAUAUAAGCCAUU